rnacentral:snoRNA from 1 species
AACAUCAUAAUUAUAUCGCGAUUGUACCACUAGUAUAUGCAACUUUUCUUAAGAUUGUAGGGAAAGGCUAACCGAACCAUACUUUUCCCAUUUUAAGUGGUACUAAAGCGUAGAUAGAAUGAACGUUGCUGGGCGCCUGAUGUUGAUUAUUUUUAAAAUGAGACAUUGGGAAUCAGCUGUAUCUACAUUU